UCCACAUCUGAGCUUUCCUGGGAACCUUCAAACUAACAUAAAGAAUGGCGUCAGCCUGCAAACUGAGUCAUGCAUGGACUUGUGACUUGCCCAUGUGACUCCAGACUCCAUCUUGUUGCUGUGAUUUUCCACAAUAAGAACAAAGGGGUGGCCUUCCACCUGGCAGAGAAU